AUGGAGAGGGAAGCUAAAGAAAGGUGGUUGAACUUGAGAGAAAAUGAAUGCCUGGCUUUCCCGUGUAUGCCGCCGCCGACCGACCUCUACACCACUAGUAACAGCUUCUUCUUCUUGCUGCUGCACCCCUCCGCUUCUUGGCCAUGGCCGCCCGUCCAGCUCCCCCGCCGCAUCCUGCUACCACAUGCACCGGCCGGGCAAGAGGCCGGACGCAUCACCGCCGAGCCGAACGCGCGCCCCGACGCCGCCGUUACGAGGGACGCGCCUCCUCCUCGCGCGUGCCCAUGUAGCUCGCCGCCGGCCGGGCAAGCUACGAACGAGCUCAGAGACACUAUCAAAGCAGCAGAUUGGAGGCGAGACUGA
rnacentral:rRNA from 1 species